rnacentral:rRNA from 1 species
UACGUAGGUGGCAAGCGUUGUCCGGAUUUACUGGGCGUAAAGAGCGCGCAGGCGGUCGGAUUAGUCGCGUGUGAAAGCCCCCGGCUCAACUGGGGAGGGUCACGCGAUACUGUUCGACUCGAAGGCAGGAGAGGGAAGUGGAAUUCCCGGUGUAGUGGUGAAAUGCGUAGAUAUCAUGAGGAAUACCAGAGGCGAAGGCGGCUCCCUGGACAAUUGCUGACACUCAGGCACGAAAGCAUGGGGAGCGAACAGG